AUUGAACGCUGGCGGCAGGCCUAACACAUGCAAGUCGAGCGGAUGAAGGGAGCUUGCUCCUGGUUUCAGCGGCGGACGGGUGAGUAAUGCCUAGGAAUCUGCCUGGUAGUGGGGGAUAACGUCCGGAAACGGGCGCUAAUACCGCAUACGUCCUGAGGGAGAAAGUGGGGGAUCUUCGGACCUCACGCUAUCAGGUGAGCCUAGGUCGGAUUAGCUAGUUGGUGGGGUAAAGGCCCACCAAGGCGACGAUCCGUAACUGGUCUGAGAGGAUGAUCAGUCACACUGGAACUGAGACACGGUCCAGACUCCUACGGGAGGCAGCAGUGGGGAAUAUUGGACAAUGGGCGAAAGCCUGAUCCAGCCAUGCCGCGUGUGUGAAGAAGGUCUUCGGAUUGUAAAGCACUUUAAGUGGGGAGGAAGGGCAGUAAGUUAAUACCUUGCUGUUUUGACGUUACCAACAGAAUAAGCACCGGCUAACUUCGUG
rnacentral:rRNA from 1 species